UCUCUCCCCACCACUUGCUUCCCUGGUAGUUCCUGUCUGUGGCUCCAGCCCUCCACCCGGGCCCUCCGCCAGGCUGAAGCAGGCACAAUUGGGUUAUGUAAGCCAUGGCACCCAAACAAGGCCACCAUUAUGUUGCCUGGCCUCCCCUCAGAUUUUCUCUGGUUCCUGGCUGUGUGCAUACUUGGCUGGAGUCUAGGAGAGAGAAAUUCCUGAGAAGGCUCUGGGCCCGAAGGCUGCCUCCCCCUGAUUUGAACGCCAGGGCGGAAGGGCGAGAAAGGCUCUGGGGUAAGUCGAAGACUGUGGUGGAGAGACGCAGGGUAAACACGGGGGCAGUAAUGGCCAGUGGUGGGUUCUCCCGGGAGCGGCCGCUGCAGGCGCUGAGAACAGUAUUGCCGAUCCUCUCGGUGAUGCUUCUGAAACCCAAACUCAAUCAGGCAUCUUCACUCUGAAUCCUACAGUGGCUUCCAGGGCUUAAUGAGAGAAGAGCAGGGUGAAGCAAGGGCUCUGCCCCGCGUGGCCCUGGCUUCCGCCCUGCGUGGCCCGGCUUUCUGGCCCGCGUGGUCCUGGCUUUCCAUCCUGCGUGGCCCGGCUUUCUGGCCCGCGUGGUCCUGGCUUUCCAUCCUGCGUGGCCCUGGCUUCCACCCUCUGCACUUACAAAAGGCAUUUCAUUUUCCACUGUUGUUUUUCCAAGACAAGAGUCAAGAUGUCGGGGCUGGAGAGAUGGCCCAGUGGUUAAAAGCACUGGCUGCUCUUCCAGAGGACCCAGGUUCAAUUCCCAGCACCCACAUGGCAUGGCAUAAUUGCAUGUGACGCCAGUUUCAAGUGGAUCUGAGACCUUCACGCAGACACACAUUCAGGAAAAACAUGAAUGCACAUGAAAUAAAAAAUUAAAAAAAAAAAAAGAGUCAAGAUGAAGCUCAGGCUGGCCUCAAACUUAGAGCCCUCCUGCUUUAGUCUCCUGAGUGCUGGUGUACACUGCCAUGUUCACCUAAACAACAACAGCCACAACAAACAAAGAAAAAAAAAAAAACCCCACAAAACCCAGACCCUGAUGGCUGCACAAAAACAGAGCAAAAAGCCCAGCCAGAGCAAAGCAAACAAAGAUACUUCUCUGUGAGCUCUGGUCUCUGUUUAUGGACAUUUGUUGUUGUUGUUGUUGUUGUUGUUGUUGUUGUUGUUGGGACAAAGAUCCAGGAUAGUCCCAUCCUUAGCAGAUCAUAUAUAACAUACAACUAGUAGAUAGUGAAAAGUUCAGGACUGGGGUGGGGGGCAGAAUGGAUUAGAGAGAGGCUUCCCAAUCAAGCCCUCGUUUUUUUAUAGCUCCACUAGGCAGUGAUGACGUCACCCCUCGGCUUUCUCAGAUCCUCUGGCUCUGCCCGAGUAGAAACCCUUGGUAGGCAAGCAGUCCUUCCAGUGCUGGCCUUCAGCCGCCUGGGGGAGGGGGGGGGCUCCUCCGCCUUAGACAGCAGAGAAGCCAGCAGAGAAGCCGAGGUGGCAGCAAUUGGGAAAAGCAGCAGGUGGAACCUUCUAGACGCCAGGACAGGGCCUCUACAGGUGCUACAGCCCUUGUGCUGACCCAGGAAAUAUGGGUUCCUUAGCCUUUGGCAGCAGCAGCAGCGGCCAGCACCACACCUUCCUGGCAGGGACAGCAAGCAGCGUGAACUUCAUGUUUGAGCGACUUCCACUGGGAACCCACGCCUGAUGCGGUGGCAGCCUGGGGGUGCUGUGGUGUAGGCAUGGGUUGCAUCACCACAGAAGAAACCCUCAUUUAAGGAACUUAGAUCUUUUAGAAGUAGCAGUAAGCACGUGACCCUGGAGGGAGACAUUCUCCUUCUGAAAUGCCCCGCAAACACGCUGUGCACUGUAGCAGCAGCAUCAGUGAAAGGGAGCCAGAAACCACUAGCCAUGCGUGUGUGGAGAACGCGUGCACAGUGCAAAACGCACCCAGUGCUGCCCGUCUUUGGCUAGCCUAUCCUCCUCAUCCUCCUCAAUUCUGUGGGCUCCUUGUCUUCAGGAAAGGCAGAAGCUGGAGGGAGGGUGGCACUCGCUGGGCCUGACUGCCUACUCUGUGUCGCUCUCCCCAGUCCCUGGCCUGGUUAUAACUGCAGUAUGUGUCUGGGGUUUUAUGAUGUCCAAGUCCCGAGCUAGACUGUGAAGGACAUGGCCACUCACCCUCCUAUGUUCCUACCUGAGUG